rnacentral:rRNA from 1 species
GACGAACGCUGGCGGCGUGCUUAACACAUGCAAGUCGAACGGAAAGGCCCUGCUUUUGUGGGGUGCUCGAGUGGCGAACGGGUGAGUAACACGUGAGUAACCUGCCCUUUACUUUGGGAUAACUUCAGGAAACUGGGGCUAAUACCGGAUAGGAGCUCCUGCUGCAUGGUGGGGGUUGGAAAGUUUCGGCGGUUGGGGAUGGACUCGCGGCUUAUCAGCUUGUUGGUGGGGUAGUGGCUUACCAAGGCUUUGACGGGUAGCCGGCCUGAGAGGGUGACCGGCCACAUUGGGACUGAGAUACGGCACAGACUACUACGGGAGGCAGCAGUGGGGAAUAUUGCACAAUGGGCGGAAGCCUGAUGCAGCAACGCCGCGUGCGGGAUGACGGCCUUCGGGUUGUAAACCGCUUUCGCCUGUGACGAAGCGUGAGUGACGGUAAUGGGUAAAGAAGCACCGGCUAACUACGUG